rnacentral:rRNA from 1 species
UACGAAGGGUGCUAGCGUUGUUCGGAAUUAUUGGGCGUAAAGCGUGCGUAGGCGGUUUAGUAAGUCGGCUGUGAAAGCCCAGAGCUUAACUUUGGAAUUGCAGUCGAAACUAUUAGACUUGAGUAUGGUGGGGGAUAGUGGAAUUCCUAGUGUAGGGGUGAAAUCCGUAGAUAUUAGGAGGAACACCGGUGGCGAAAGCGACUAUCUACGCCAAUACUGACGCUGAGGCACGAAAGUGUGGGGAGCAAACAGG